rnacentral:lncRNA from 1 species
UGCUAUGUUCUUUUUUCUGAUAUUUUGUUCACCAAAACCAAAUUCAAAAUUCCGUAUUCACUUGUGCAUAAGUAACCCUAUAAGCAAAAUUUGAAAUUAUUAAAUAUGAAUGUAUAAAAAUUCAAAUAAUAUAUGAUGUAUGAAUGUCAAUGUAGGUUUCUACAAUAUAUUAAAUCUCAAAUAUGAAAACAAAUACAGAAAAUUCAAACAAAAGUGCUUAAAGACGAAAAAUUCGAAAUACUUAAAAGAGAAAAAUCUCACAAAAUACUUUGUGAAUAUGAAAAAAAACUCACAAAAAAAAAAUCAAACACUACUGAUUAAAAGAUGGAAAAUCUAGAAUACAAAAUACUUGGUGAAUAUAAAAAUAAAGUCACAAGAAAUUUCAGAGAAUACUUGUUGACUUCAUACUUUAUCAAUGGGCGAACAAUCUUUUGAAUUAAUUGUGAGAUGUCUUAAACAAAGUGUAGGAAAUUUGAAGAGUUGAUUUUCUUGAAUAAAGAAAGGAAAUAACAAUGGUGAAAAAGGGAAGAGAGAGCAAGGAGUGAUUUGAGGCAAAAAUCGAAAAGGCCCAACUGGCAGGCCCUAAACAUCCUAAUCAAAAUAAACAAAAAGGAAAUAAAGAAGAGAAAUUUUCAAAAUGUCAAUAUUUUGACAUUUAGUAGGACCCCGUAGCCACACUUUCAAUAUUUAUUUAACAUGUUAAUAUUUUAGUUUGGUAUGUAUCUGAUUGAUGUAUUUUUUAUUUGUUUGAUUUAAAAGAAUACAAUUAUUUAACAACAAAAAAGAGAAAAAAAUUAUUAUGAUUUUUUUGUAAUUGUAUACCAAUAAUUUUUACAUUUUAUGUGUUCACUUUACCAUUCAAAUUAAAAUUGGUAUAUUUCUUUCAUAAUGAAAACUAAAAUUGUGUUCGAGUGAAAUUGUAUUGCAUGGCUGCCAAAUAUAUCUUUCUUUUAUUUGUAUUACAAAAAUAUUACUGAUUGUAUCCAAUAUAAUUCAAUCAUUACAUAUGAAUAUGAUUUAUGAAAUGAUACAAGAUUUUGGGAAAAAAUAGCAUACAUAGUGGAAAUAAUACAAUCUGUUGAGGAGGAUACAAUAUUUCAAAAAAAUAAAUACAAAUUAACUAUGAAAGAAAGAUGGAUACAAGAUUCUGGAAAAAAAAAUAGCAUACAUAAUGAAAAUAAUUCAAUUUGUUGAGGAAGAAUACAAUAUUAUAAAAAAAUACAAAUUAACUAUGAAAAAAAUAGGAUACAUCUAUGCUUAAGAAAUACAAAUCCAUUUGACAUACCUAUUAGAAUGACUACAAACUAAAAAAGAAAUACAAUGUUCUUAAUACAAAUACAAAUGCUGAGUAAAAGAAAAAUAAUUGACAAACAAAAUUAAUAUGAAUACAAUUUUUGUUACCUUUUUCUCUAACUCUCUCUGUCUUCUUCUCGUUCGUCUGCUAUGUUCUUUUUUCUGAUAUUUUGUUCACCAAAACCAAAUCCAAAAAUUCGUAUUCACUUGUGCAUAAGUAACCCUAUAAGCAAAAUUCAAAAUUAUUAAAUAUGAAUGUAUAAAAAAUCAAAUAAUAUAUGAUGUAUGAAUGUCAGUGUAGGUUUCUACAAUCUACUAAAUCUCAAAUAUGAAAACAAAUACAAAAAAAUCAAACAAUAGUGCUUAAAGACGAAAAAUCCGAAAUACAUAAAAGAGGAAAAUCUCACAAAAUACUUGGUGAAUAUGAAAACAAACUCACAAAAAAAUCAAACAAUACUAAUUAAAAGACAAAAAAUCCGAAAUACAAAAAUACUUGGUGAAUAUGAAAAUAAAAUCACAAGAAACUUCACAGAAUACUUGUUGACUUCAUACUUUAUCAAUGGGUGAAGAAUCUUUUGAAUUAAUUGUGAGAUUUCUUAAACGAAGUGUAGGAAAUUUGAAGAGUUGAUUUUCUUGAACAAAGGAAGGAAAUAACAAUGGUGAAAAAGGGAAGAGAGAGAAAUGAGCGAUUUGAGGUUAAACCCAAAGAGAGG